GGCCCUGAUUGGCCCCGGGCCCGUACGCAUCCGCAUAUAUAUAUAUAUACGUGUUUGUCUCACUGUAUUCAUUUACUCUGAAAUAACGUGUAUGGAUCUUUAGAUGUUUGUGGAUAAGUGGCACAGCAGUCAGGUAGCUAUUUAAAACUAUAAUAAAUUGCGUAUUUUGUUAAUUCAGGUAAAGCAUUAUGAAAAAAUUUGCAUGCACAAUAAAGCAUAUAAAAAAAUUGCCUUGCAUUUUUCCUUUCUCUCUGGGCUAAGCCCCGGAUGUUUCAGAAACCUAGAAAUACUCCUGGAGGCGGGCGUUUCGACGCGACCGCAUGAUGAAAAGAAAAACACCAACACCCAGACAGUGUGCAGAGCAUCAAUCAGAGACAUGGUUUAAAGAAUGUAUUUUCAUUUGUGCCUUUUGAUAAUAUCUAAAAUGAUACAAGGUGCUGUCUAAGUUGUUUUUCAAAGUCGCUGAUUUUGAAGAUUGAUUGAGCAUGAGCUCAAAUGGAACUAGGUGGCUUAACGUAGAGGCAAACCUGGUUCACUGUACCCACGAUGCCCAUCCCUUUGCAUUAACCUGUUUUAACAGUUGCAUUUGUACCCUCUACAUUCUUUCAUGAACAAGUAUAGUCAUAGGCAGAGUAGAAAAAGUAAACAUAAUAGACUGAAGUCUAUCAUUAUCCUCUCUUAACUGUGGAGUAAUUAGGCUGCAUGUAUUUCACAUAGGUAUUUGGUUUAGUAUUUGCUAUUGACCUUGCAUCCCAUUUGGCUCUGUGAAAAACCUGUUCUGAUCGCCUGUUAACUUGGCUUUAGGCAGCAGGCCACAAACAUCCGUAAUUAAAUAUUAAUAGAGCAGAGUGAAUUAUUAUUAAAUACAUUUUUUUAUAUCAUAAUUGUUAAGGAUAGCAGCGUUGCAUCUUAUUAUAAAAAGAGGAAUGAAGAAAAAUGCCAGCCUGCUUGAUACUGCCAGCUAAUGGAACUACUUUAAUGGAACAUUAUGGGCAGUUUGUCCUCCAGUUUUUUAUCAAGUCCCCGUAAAAUAUUCCCUUAAAUUGUAAACAUCAGAGGCUUCAACAUAGGAACUGUUUUAAAUGUGGAACGUGUUCACUUAUUCAAUAUUGAGAGAUGUGGUUGUUUAUUUGGUACAUGUUUGACAGUUUUGUCUUGGUUAAUGCUUCCAUAAUGUGCCAUUGAAUUGACUUGAACAGACGGAAAGGUCUUAUUUUAAUGUAUCCUACACAUAGUCCCCCCCAUGGCCAAACUGCUGAGCAUGUUUAAGUAUUAAGACUUUAAUGCCAACACUGUCUGGAUGUAAAUCGCCGGAGCAGCAGUAAGAAACACUCAUUUCAUUUGCAGUUGGCCUUUGGAAUACCUGUUCUUCCACAAAUACAUUCAGCCCAGAGCUGUUGUUCAGACUAGGUGUAUCACCCUUGGGUGAGUCAUGGGCCUCUAUAAAUACAAUCAAAACACUCACAAUGUGCACCAGUCUCUCAACUUCUUGAUCAGGUAAUGUGAACACAUGAUACACUCAAUGUGUGCAGCAGUCUAAUAUUUAGAAAUUUAAAGGUGUUGAUUUAACAUUGAAAGUGCUGAAGAUUAUGUUCCACUCUUUCUUUCUCAAGUAGUGUUGUGUACAGUGCCUGUCAACCAAACAGAUAAGAUGUCUGAGAAGAAAUGCGACAAGCUAGAGGAGUGUGUGCCCGAAGGAGAGUGUGAGGAUCGUGGAAAGGGUUGUGACAAGGGAAAGGGAAAGGAUGGCGACUCUGAUGGAGAAGGGAAGUGCCAUGGAAAGUCGGGUGAACGUGGGGGACACGGACACGGAAGGGGAGGAGGCCCGGACUGUGGAGAGCGUGGUGGAAAGGGUGGUCGUGGGGGAAAGAACAACUAAUGACUUUGUUUUGUCUGAAG
ensembl:lncRNA